rnacentral:rRNA from 1 species
CCUGAGCUGACUGUCAAGAAAAGCCGCUAUUGUUUGCAGGAUACCCGUACCGUAAACCGACACAGGUGGAUGAGGAGAGAAUCCUAAGGCCGACGGGAGAAGCAUUGUUAAGGAACUCGGCAAAAUGACUCCGUAACUUCGGGAGAAGGAGUGCCAGUAAGAUGGCCGCAGAGAAUUGGCCCAAGCAACUGUUUAGCAAAAACACAGGUCUAUGCAAAACCGAAAGGUGAGGUAUAUGGGCUGACGCCUGCCCGGUGCUGGAAGGUUAAGGGGAGAGGUUAGCGCAAGCGAAGCUUUGAACUUAAGCCCCAGUAAACGGCGGCCGUAACAAUAACGGUCCUAAGGUAGCGAAAUUCCUUGUCGGGUAAGUUCCGUCCCGCACGAAAGGCGUAAUGAUUUGGGCACUGUCUCAACAAUGCACCCGGUGAAAUUGAAAUACCAGUGAAGAUGCUGGUUACCUGCGCCAGGACGGAAAGACCCCAUGGAGCUUUACUCCAGCUUGAUACUGGGAUUCGGUAUUGCAUGUACAGGAUAGGUGGGAGGCUAGGAAAUGGUAACGCCAGUUGCCAUGGAGCCAAUGUUGGGAUACCACCCUUGCAGUACUGGGUUUCUAACCAGCAGCCGUGAUCCGGCUGGGGGACAAUGUCAGGUGGGGAGUUUGACUGGGGCGGUCGCCUCCGAAAGGGUAUCGGAGGCGCUCAAAGGUUCCCUCAGAAUGGUUGGAAACCAUUCGAAGAGUGCAAAGGCAGAAGGGAGCUUGACUGCGACACCGACGGGUGGAGCAGGUACGAAAGUAGGACUUAGUGAUCCGGUGGUAUAAAGUGGGAUUGCCAUCGCUCAACGGAUAAAAGCUACCCUGGGAUAACAGGCUUAUCACUCCCAAGAGUUCACAUCGACGGAGUGGUUUGGCACCUCGAUGUCGGCUCAUCGCAUCCUGGGGCUGAAGUAGGUCCCAAGGGUUGGGCUGUUCGCCCAUUAAAGCGGUACGCGAGCUGGGUUCAGAACGUCGUGAGACAGUUCGGUCCCUAUCCGGCGUGGGCGUAAGAUAUUUGAGAGGAGCUGUCCUUAGUACGAGAGGACCGGGAUGGACUGGCCGCUGGUGUAUCUGUUGUCUUACCAAAGGCAUAGCAGAGUAGCCAAGCCGGGAAGGGAUAAACGCUGAAGGCAUCUAAGCGUGAAGCCCCCCUCAAGAUGAGAUAUCUCAUAACGUCAAGUUAGUAAGACCCCUUGAAGACGACGAGGUAGAUAGGGCAGAGGUGGAAGUGUGGUAACACAUGGAGCUGACUGUUACUAAUAGGUCGAGGGCAUAACC